GUAUAGGCCUUCAACUCUUUAUUUAAACUAAUUUAAUUUAUUUUUUAUUUUCGGUAAAUUCUGAGAUCUAAAGUCGGUAAAUUCCGAUUAAAAUCGAUAACCGAACCAAACGGACGGUAAAGUGUCAAACCAAUUUCGAUACCGGUUCUGAUUUAAAAUUCCGAUAAUCGAUUCCGUUUUCGAAAAAUACUGAUAUCGGUGAACUGAAUCGAAAAAAAUCGAAAACGGUUUUCGGAAAACCGAAAAAUUCCGAAACCGUUUUCAUCUCUACUCAUCGUAGUUUGUCUUUCGCCACCAGGUGGGGGUAGAGGUCGUUGCGACGUCAAUCGACGGUAAGUCACUCUUGACUAGUUUGCAAGCCUUCGGGUAUCGUGUAGAACGCUUGUAGUUUGUCUUUCGCCACCAGGUGGGGGGUAGAGGUCGUUGCGACGUCAAUCGACGGUAAGUCACUCUUGACUAGUUUGCAAGCCUUCGGGUAUCGUGUAGAACGCUUCAGAUUAGAGAAUAGAGCAUCAGGGAGCGAGUUGGUGUGUCGCCGGCGAUGGCCGCCGCCAUGGUGUAGGGCACCGUCGCCAUGCCCUGGCAUCGGGUGAGGAAGAUGGAGGGUGGUCGUCUGUUUUGUGACGAGAACAGCGUGUACCGGUUGAAUCUCCUUAUCCGUGUCAUUUAUACUUUAGCUCGCGGCUGAGAUCGGAUCCUGGGCGUACCGUUUCAUGAUUGAUCAUGGGUCGUAGAUCCCAGAUCCAUUGGCCUGGAAUAGAUCGCGAGUUCCUUGAAUAUCGAGCGUUGAUUCGUGAUCCGACCGCUGAUAUAGAAUAUCAGUUCGCAAUCUGUUACGAACCGAUGAUCUAAGAUCCAUCGGCUGGAAAGCGUCGAUACCCCUUCGGUCGUAUACAUUUUUAUUAAAGAGACCCUCGACUUGUCACAAAUGAACUCGCAGUCAAUGUAAAUAGAAAGAUCCUUUUUCACUUAGGUCCAAACCUUUAAGAUUUUUACCCUAGAUUCUAUAAUAUUUGCACCCGCUGUCCAUUGGCGCUAAUAAAAUUAUAAAACUUAAUCUGGAAAUGAGUUUUAGUAUAAAAGUAUUCCUAAAUCUUAGUAAAUCCAUAUUUUCUCCGAUUUAACCCGUUCCAGUU
rnacentral:lncRNA from 1 species